GGUCCCCAUGGUCCCCUUUCUUUUCUCUUAAUGUAUGCACUUAGCAUUAUAAAGAGAGAGAGAGAGACAGAGAGAGAGAUGGCAAACGGUCACUGUCAAUAGCUGUAAGGACCGAAACCCACCAUUGAAUACUCCAUCAGUGGCACAGUACAAAGGAGGGGAGAGAAGAGAAUGCAUUUAUAUAUGCAUAUAUAUAUAUAUAUAUAAGGAGAGAGGUGAGAGCUAGUCACGAGGAUCCUUUCCUACCCAAAAGCAUGCAUUGUUCGUGCUAAAUUUUCCUUUAGUUGAAGUUUUGGUAUAAAGAUCUUCACCUUCUUCUUCUUCUUCGUCUUCUCAAAUCUCUCCAAUUUCAGCAUACACAGAACAGAACCUCGCUGCCCAUUUUGGUAUUCCUUCCUUCUCGUUUAAUAUUAAUGUUGGUUUGAGAGGUUGAAGCUGCCAGCAUGAUCUGGUAAUGAUCUAGCCAAAACCUUUCUAUACGUAGACCUAUAUUUAUAUUUCUAUACACAUCAAGAUAUGGAUUAUUAAAUUUCCAGUUUUCUUUACAAAGUUUUCUGCUAUAUUCCUUUCAAUUAGGCUAUCAAUUUUUACCAAGGGAAAGGAUUUACGAGUACUGAAAAGUACCCAUAUAUCCUUGUAGCCUAAAAAGAGGAAUAGUUCCUGAUUGUUCGAUCAGGGGUUUUGAGACAAAAGAUAAGAAACCUAGUUGGAUAGGAUAUAUGAGUGCUGUGUCUCUGUGUGUGUGUGUGUGUGUGGGGUUCCAUCAUCAGGUCAUCUUGCAGCUUCAAUCACUCAAUCACCAACAAUGAAAGAAAAUCUGAAAAAAUGCUUUUCUUUUUCUUGGCCGGAUUUGGCUCUCACAGUUGCAACUAAUUAAAGAACCCAACGAAGCAAUGACAGAAUUUGUAGCUUCAGAUUCAUCCCGUCCAUUGCUACACAACAGAAGAAAAACAAAGGCAGCAUUUUAAUUCAUGCCAUAAAGAGUCAACAAAUUUUGUGGUAAGGUUCUGUUUCUAAUUUCAUGAGGUAGGAAAUAUGCUUUAGAUUCAAUUGGCCGAAUGCUAAUAUUCAAUAAACGAAUGAGAUAAGUGCAUCUGAGUAUAUGUGAGAGGUUUUAGAUUUACUUCUCAAUCUCUCGAUUCCCAAUCCCCAUUUCAAAAAAAUAAAUUAAAAUAAACAAAUGAGAUAAGGGUUUUCAAGGCAUGAAUAUGGACAAGUAUAUAGCUUUUUCGAAAAAGGAAACUACUUGAAUCCUCUAGAUUAUUCUUCAUUGCUUCUAAGUUACUGUUUUCAGUAGUAAUUCAAUUAAUGUUGAAAUUUGAAGAUUAAAUAUUGCUAGAUUGUAAUUGUUGUGUUUGGAUUCAUUUAUUUAAAUUUGAAUCAAAUAUCUUAUUUGGAGGCUUUUAAGAUCAAUUUUGAUUUCAAUCAAAAUCAAUUUAAUAUAGCAAUGAUAAUUAUAUUAUUUGAAAGAAUUUAAAUUAACAAUAAUAUUUAUAUUAUUUGAAAUUUAAAAUUAAGCUAACCAUUUUUUCAAUAAUAAGCUGCAGUUAAUUUAAAAUUUAAAUUCUUUUAAUAUUCAAACAAAAUAUUUUUAAAUUUUAAAUUUAUAUUGAGUUUUUGGGGGUUAUGCAUCCCCGGUCUAUCAAUAUAUUUAUAACACUCCACCUUUUUUUUUUAAAUGGGAUUGAAAAUUGGGAGAGUAGAACAUGAAACUUCUCAAAUUUAUUUAAAUGCACUUACCACAAAAUUAAGCCUGUUAUAACACUCCACCUUAAAUGUUUAUUUAAGAAUAUGUCUCAUUUAAAACCUUACUUAGAAAAAUUUCAGUGAAAAAAUCCAGUCUAAGCCUGUGUUAUAACACUCCACCUUAAAUGUCUAUUUAAGAAUAUUCUUUUUAUAUAAUAUGCGAAUAAAUACUAACUCGUUAAAAACCUUAAAAAAAUCGAGUGAAAAAAUAUUGGUCAAUGGAAAAAGAGUACGGUGUGUAUUUACUCCCCUCAUGAUGAUAUCACUUAGGAUAUCUAUGACUUAUGCACUUCAAUCUUGAAUGAAAUUGGUUACAAGGAGUGCUUUAGUAAAAAUUUAUAGGAUUAUCAUAUGAGCAUAUUUUUAAAUAUCAAUAUCAUCAUCUUUUUAGUAAAUAAAAAUUCUGAUAAAAUAUGUUUUAUCUUGUAUCCUUUAAUAUAUCACUCAUUCAGCUGAUUUAUCCAUGUUGCAUUGUCUUCAUGCCAUUUUGUUAGAAUAUCUCUCCAAAUAUGUUGAAUGAUUCAUAUUAACAAGCGACUUCCUAUACUUGUUUCAUAAAUUGCUAAAAAUUUAUGCAUGAUUGGAAGUAAUAACAAUAGUUUAUUUUGUACAAAAUCAUAAGAUAAUCAUAUCUCGAUAUAUAAAUAAGCAAUAUAUUUGAAAAGAACUCUGUAGAUUAGAUAAUAAGCUAUAUCUAUAUAAAUAGUGGAACCUUAUUUGGAUGUAAUCUAAACUCAUAAUCAUUAUACCUCAAAUAUACUAGAAUAUAUUAAAAUCAACUGCAGUGCCUUUGUAGUGGAAAAAGAUUAUAUCUUGCUAAUCAGUCAAAUACUAAGCUAGCAAGAUAUAUUAAUGAGUAACCUUAUUGCAUUGAUAUAUUUAGUACAAAAAUUUAUUAUGUGUAGAUAGUAAAUAUUAAUUUUUUUUUUCAUAUAGUGAUCUCAUAACCAUUCAAAUACUUCAUUUAUGAAGUGAUCUCAUUUUUUUUUUCAUUUAAAAAUAUCUUCAGCAUAUUAAGUAUGUUAAUAAACAAAACUUUAUCAAUGAAUUGCUGGAUUUACAAGAAGACAAAACUUUAUUUUCUCAAAAUUUUCUUUUAGAAAUAAUUUAAUAUUUUGAAACCUUUUUAGGAAUUUGAAUAAAAUUCAAUAUAAAAUAUAAGUAUAAGAUAUUUACAUUGAGAUCCUUUUAUAGACAUAUGUUUAUAAUAUUUUUUCAACAAUAUUUACCAAAAUAUUGGUAUCACAUAUACCCAUAUUGUUUUAAAUAAUAUAGAACUCUAUAUGAUUCAAAUAAAUAAUUUGCUUCAAGUAAAUUAAUUUCUUUAUUAAUGUGCCUCAAGCGGCAUGAAUCUUUCAGGGAUCUUAUAUAGACAUUUUUCAAGUGAGCGAUGUAAAUAAAUAAUCAUUAAAUAUAAUAGACGCAUUUCAAUUUUUUCCUUAUAAAUUGUCAGACGAAUCGAAUGAUGAAAAAUAAUUAUAUGCACCACAUGAGAAUAUCUCUUCAUAAUAACUAUAAAGUUUUAUGAACUACUCACUUUUAUUAUACUGGCUCAAUAUGGACUUCAAGUCCAAAAACUUAAUAUUUUUUAAUUGGAUUUAUUUUUCAAAUGCAUCCUUCUAUUUUGGUCAAUCAUUUCUAUAUCUAUAUUAUUUAAUAUAUUUAAUUUUAAGAUCAUCUUCUUUCUUCAUAAAAUUGAGCGCUAUCUCAUAUGUAAGAAUACUGACUAUGUUUGUUUUGUAUGGAUUCCAUUAUUGUUCUGAGAUGACAUAAUUUAUCGAGAUCUCUUCAUUUAAUUGAUUUUAGAUACCUAAGUUUUUUUU